UUCCCAGAGCGAGGCCCUUUGUCCCCUGGUGAUAGGUGGAGUUAGGGUGGUGACAGGAGCUGUUGUAUUGAUACGCUGAUAUGUAUUCUGAGGUCUGAAGACUGUAUAGUGAUUGGAUAUGGAUAAUUUUCAGGAUCGAAGAUAAGCAGGACUAGAAAAGAUCUCAUGGAGCGCUGCUCAAUACACCAUCCA